rnacentral:antisense_RNA from 1 species
UCUUGACUCCGCCCAGCCGCGCCACCCAGGCUGUACAGGAGGCAUGGCUGGGGAGGCCUCAGAAAACUUACAAUCAUGGCAGAAGGUGAAGGGGAAGCCAGCACAUCUUCAUAUGAUGGCAGGAACUUUAUAUGUUAUAAAAGUUAGCCCCAAGAAUGAAAUCGUGUCCUUUGCCAAAACAUGGAUGGAGCUAGAGGCCUUUAUCCUAAGGUGCUCUAUGCUUGGCCCAUCAUAGAUUGUGGCCCUUCAUUCCUGCAUUUGAUGAAUCCAGGGAACCCUCUCUCCAACACCCUUGGCCUCUCUGCAACUUUCUAACAUCAGGCAGAGUCAGAGGCACCAUCCCCAGAAGCUACAAAUCUUCAGCAUUCUCCACUCUGUGAAGUCAGAGGAAUGGAGGGACCAUAGCUCUGAGCUCAUUGGCAAAUACAACUAAUUUCAAUUUCUGGAAUGGAAGCAGUCAGAUAUUCUUCUGACUGCACGCGUAUGUGGGAGUGCCAUGUUGAAGAGUGGAAAAUAUGGAAGAUCAGUUCCUACAAACUUAAUAGGAGAAUGACAUUCAGAUUUCCCAAAUAUUUUGCAUGUCCAACUGAAAACUGAAGUAGGUUUAUGAGAGAAUGCAUGCCUACCUGGAUGGGUCUGGGGAGUGUGUCACUGUCACCGCAGAUAAUUGACAAGGGCUGAUCAAAUAGCGAUGCUUUCAAGUCUGUCUCCAAAGCCCCAGAAAAAUCUGAUGCAGGGGAGAGCCUUCUCAUGAGAAAGGGCCAGGACAGCA